GUGGGCUGGAUUGGAAAGGGUGGGAUUUCCAGGCUCUCGCAGAGCUCCGCGUAUUGCUGCCUGUUAACGUCUUGGACCUAUGCGGCUUCAACCACCGAGCAGAGACGGACCGCUUGUGCCAUUCACAGCCACAGAAAGGGCUCCCCCGCACCCCGCAUAUACACGCACCCCGCUGCACGCUGGACGCUUUCUUCUUUUUCUACAUGCGCCUCCGACCGGAAUAAAUAAUUGAGGAAUGUGGAGAAUACAGAAUGCCCAACAGCGCUGGAAAGAGAUUUAAACCCACCAAAUACAUCCCGGUGUCCACUGCUGCCACGCUCCUGGUGGGAUCGACCACUUUAUUUUUCGUCUUCACGUGUCCCUGGUUGAUGAAGGUAAUCUCUCCCGCUGUGCCUCUCUACAAUGGCCUGGUCUUCCUCUUCGUCUUGGCCAACUUCAGCAUGGCAACCUUCAUGGACCCUGGUAUUUACCCCCGAGCUGACGAGGAUGAGGACAAGGACGACGAUUUCCGGGCGCCCCUUUACAAAAACGUGGAGAUCAAAGGCAUUCAGGUCCGGAUGAAGUGGUGUGCCACCUGCCACUUCUACAGGCCGCCCCGCUGCUCACACUGCAGCGUCUGCGACAACUGUGUGGAGGAUUUCGACCAUCACUGUCCCUGGGUGAACAACUGCAUUGGUCGGAGGAACUACCGUUACUUCUUCCUCUUCUUGCUGUCGUUGAGCGUUCACAUGGUGGGAGUCUUUUCCUUCGGCCUCAUAUUUGUCCUCCACCACAGAGAAAAGCUGGGAGGUCUUCACACCACCGUCACCAUGGUGGUGAUGUGCAUAGCGGGGCUGUUCUUCAUCCCGGUUAUGGGCCUCACGGGCUUCCACAUGGUGCUCGUAGCUCGGGGUCGAACAACUAAUGAACAGGUGACGGGCAAGUUUCGUGGGGGAGUAAAUCCAUUCACCAAGGGUUGCUGUGGCAACGUGGAGUACGUCUUAUGCAGUCCGCUGGCUCCCAGGUACGUGUUGGACCCCAGGAAGAGGCCCCACGUCAAAAUCCAGCCCCCGUUUAUCCGACCGGACCUCUCUGACCAGCAGAUCACCAUCAAAGUCAGCGACAACGGCAUGCACAGCACGAUAACGAACUCCAAGUCCAAAAGCAGCAUCGACGGCCUGGACGGCAAAGAAACCCAGCCGCCGCUGCCCCCCAAAGCUGACAGGUACAACCAGCUGAAAGGCCAGCUGACGUCCAGCGAAGAAAGCUCUCUUUCUGGAAAAACCCACCCUUCCACGCCAGCCAUGUACAGAUUCAAGCCAUCCUUUGGCACAAUGCCGAAAGUCCACUACCACACUGCUGGAGAGAAGAUCGUUAUGCCAGAUGGUCGAAAAAAUUCAGCCAUCUUGGAAGAAGGUGUACGAUCCGACUACCGAUCUGAGCCAAACCUCGAUCUGCCCGAGUAUGCCAACGCUCCGCUCCACCGCACUUUCCAGUCCUCACCUCACCAGCUGGAUGCCGAUCCCACCAACUCCCACACGCUCAGCCUGAAGCAAGGUCACCGCCGGCCAGAGAAGGGCCAGCUGCAGGCGCUGCCGCCCCAGACGGUCGCUUCCACUGCAUAUAAGGGUGUUUUCUCUCCGAACACUCUCUCCAACCGUAACGGCAGUCUGUCCUACGACAGCCUGCUCAACCCCAGCAUCUCUCCAGCCAGUGCCAAUGAGUGCAUGGCCCACCGGGGUAUGCCAUCCAUGGGAUUCCAUUCACCCUACCUGCCCACCAAAAUGUGCCACAUCCGGGAAUCUGAGAUCCACAGACAACAGGUUGCUCAAACUUACAGUCCGGUGAUGCCUCCCAGAGGGUUGGGCAGACAAUCCCCUCACCUAAGGGACAGAGAGCCAUCUCCGGUGCGCUAUGAUAACCUCUCCCAAACCAUAAUGGCCUCCAUCCAGGAGAGGAAGGAGAAGGAGGAGAGGGAGAAGCGGCAGAUGCUGCACGGACGCUCCCAGACCCAUAUCUACGUCCAGGACUCUGGCGUGUUCGACGCAGGUUAUGGCCCACCCGCCAACGCCAGCUUCCUAGAUGGACCUCGUGGACACGGGUCUAGAGGCCCGACACCGCCAGCGUACGGUGGCUCCAGGGACAAUCUGAUGGGGGUCGGGCUGGCAAACUACGGCCAAAGAACCCCCGUAUUGCGUCACGCUGGUACCACUCUUGGCCGGGCCCCCAGGACUUCAUCCACCUCCUUACACACAGACCACAGCAGCUCUAACAGCAGCCAGGGCAGGGCCCCCAGCCAUGAAGGCUCCUAUCGCUCCCCCACCCACAAGCCCCGAUCCCCAGCCAUGCCCCGAUCCCCCUCCUACUCCCACCAGAAACUUUCCUACAUCAGCGCUCACGACAGGACAGACUCCCCUCGGUUAGGGGGCCAGAGAGAGGCCAUGAAAGUUAACGGGCAGAUGGACUGCCACCUGAGCCCCAGUCGCCAUGGUAACGUCAAAAAGGUGACGGGUGUCGGAGGCACCACGUACGAAAUAUCUGUGUGAGCGAGGAAAGCACCCUCAGCUUGUUCACAACAACAUCGCCGUGGAGGGGAGAAAUUGUCUUUUGUCCAAUCAGGGCUCGUUAGUACCUGGUGAUAUGAUUUAACUGUCCAAUCAAAGGAACUCAUUGUGUGAGGGUGUCAAAGCAAUACCGUAUGAAUCUGUGGUGAUGGAGAAGAGUAGUAGGGAAAAAAAAAGAAGAAGUGAUGUGUGUGUGAGCGUGAAGGCUUUUGUCGUCAAUAAUUCUGACUCGCCAUCUUGGUUGGUGGAACAGGAAGUCUGGCAGCCUGUCGUGAGGCGGCUGCUCCGGACAUCUGGACCUUGGCAAGAAGACUGCUGCUCGGGUCCGACGUGACAAGAAUUCAUGGUGCUUCACUUUUUCUCCUCCCGUACCGUCCACAUUGUCUUCGGGGGUGUUGUGAUGGACAUCUUAAAGGCUUUGAGAGUCAGCAAGGAAGUUUAGGAAACAUAACAGGAGUGGAAAGAGAAGGUUUUAUUUUCAUCUCGUCUGAUGGUUGCAUUCCAAAUUCAGUUGCUUUUGAUGGAAGAAAGGAAAAGAUAACUUUGUGUUUGUUAAAAAUAUUUUUUCUCAGGAAUUAAUGCAACCAGCAGACAUGCUAGUUGACAUGAAUUCAUAUAUUAUGAAUGUGUUUUUUUCCCUUGAUGUUUAUUGCAGAUUAUUUAGGGCUUUCUUUCCCUCCUUUACCUUCACAAAGGGCGGUGUGGAGCUGUGUGCCCUUGUUUUUCAGAGACUAUCCUACAACACAAGAACUGGGCUGGUAUGUUUGCAUUCUGAAAUCCUAGUAUACCUCAUCACAAUAUUUCUCACAGAUUCCAGAUAAGUUCAGACUUGCACAGCCCCAAGAAAAACUCAUGUUUCAUCAAAUAAAGGAAAAAAAUAUUUACAUGUGAUUUAAAAAUGAGAGUCAAAUAAGGUGUCUUUUUGAUACAAUUUUAGUUUUUUUUUUCCUUUAACAUGCCCAAUCUCUUAAAAACCAUGUUUGAUACAUAUUUUUAUACCUACAUUUUGGUUGAAUUUUAAUGUUUAAAGUGAGGUGCUCCUGGUAGAUAUGCUUAAAAAUUAUGAAAUGAUUUAAUCUUUGCUUGCAGUAGCAUAAUCUAAACCUGAUUAAUUUUUCUGAAAAAUGUAACCUUUAACUUGAGUAUAUUUAUUCAGUUGGGGGUAAAAAAAAAAAGAUCUAAAGAAAUAAAAGUUUUUAAACAUGUGGCACAAGGAGUGCUACUCCUACCAAUCACUUUAAAAGAAAAGUUUUAUUUAGAUUUUGUAAAGCUGAUCAAAGUUUCUAGGAACUGCUGAGUAUUAAUACACGGCACUGAUUUCUUGGAGUAAAUUUAUGACAUUAAAAGACCCAGGCUUGAUGGGGACCUAUAUUUAUCUUGCCACCCUACAGUGAGCAGGGUGACAAGGCAGAUGGUAAAAAUAUUUCCAAAGCUCACUGUGAUGAGAUCUACCGCAAAGACUGGCGUCCUGCUGCCACAAAGUCCCCAUAGCAACUGAAAACAGGUUGCUUGGGAGGGAUGCCAGUAAAAAUGCUUUUCUGUUCCUAACAUCACAAAAGAAAACAUGGAAUUUGCUGUCUUUCUGGUAGAAUAGCUGGAAAGUGAGAUGAGACUAAGAUUGAGCUUUCCAGCAAUACCUCAGGUAGGUUUGGUGUGUAAUAAAUAAUGAAUAUGAGGAAUAGCAACUCAAACCCACUAAAAUACGAUGGUGCGGGGCCUUUUUCUCUUCUGGAAUGCUUUUUGGAACUUGUAUUGGUAUUUUUUUUCCUUACAUACCAGGGACAUUUUAAAUAAAACAUGCAAACUUUGUUGUUCUGUAGAAGGCAAAGUACUAAUAACAGGAGUACCAAUAAAUAUGCCACGUUAGGAUUUUCUUUAAUACAUGUUUUUAUUCUUCAUCUGGAUAACUGUACUCAAAAAAUUACUGUCAAAUUAUGCUACUGUAGCAAAAAAUCAACUUAUUUUAAGGCUUAUUUUUAACACAUCUUUACCAGAGUUGCCAAUAAAUGUGUCCAGGUCUGUAAAUAUAACAUUGCCAUGAAUUCACUAGAUGAAUCAGAUCAUGGACAAUGGGUGAACUGAAAUAUUGCUUGUUUUACGUUGCUGUGCAAGAAUAAGUCUAUGGUCAAUUGUAACUGAUAGAUUUGUGUUGUGGAAAGUAACGUUAAAGUGACAUGACUAGUGAGCGGUCACAUGGUCCUUAUGGUCAAACAUUACAGGUCAAGAAAUGUGCAUGUCAUUAUAGCUGCCUUGAGUUAUCAAUGCCAAACGUGGCCAUACUUCUUGAACACAGCAAACGGGUGACAUCUGCGCUUAAGUAGAGUGGAAAUAAUCGGACUAUUUGCAGAGGCUGUCUGGUACAGCGCAUCGACGUUUUUCUUUGCUGUUGAGAUGUAAAAUCCUGAUGACUUUUCAAAACUGAAAGGCAGAAAUUAAUACAAGCUACAUGUCAGAUUUGUUUGCGCUACAAGAAAAGCCACCGUUGCCUUUUUUUAAUGAAGAAACUGUUUCCUACACAGUUAAGUGUGUCUGAAACACUGCUGAGAGACAAUGAAAUGCAAUCUGUCAAUCAGAUUGAGCAGAAAGUGACUCUGGAGAGCAGUUUGGGCUGGGUGAACCUUUUCAACUGCAAAAGAAUAACAAAUAAACAAAUAGAAAAACAGGGGCGACUCGAACGUGCAAGUUAGGAAACCCCAGUUCCUCUCAUCUGGUUGGUUUAAAUUUCUCUGAAGUUCAAGGCAGAAAAACCAGAGGCUGUGGUAGUCAUUUGCUAAGGUUGAACCUUUACUAACAGUUUGACCAACAUGGUUGCUCUUUAAGGUCUCACCCAGCUGCCUUAAACAAAACGUUCUUGUGAGGCUGUGGUCAACAGGGCUAUUUUGGCAAAUGUGAUGGUUGGGUGAACCAAUAAAAUGUAAUGGUUGUUUUGUUUACUUAACUCCUGUUUGUAAUGACUUUCAAACCCCUGUCUGACCAUGCCUCUGAAUGCAACCAACCAUCAUUCCACCUUAAGGUGACUGCCGUUACGCCAAUGUUCCUUUCCUAGGAUGGACAUCACUGCAGGUCAGGGCCCCAUUCCUGACGGUCGACAACGACCAACCAUUUUGUUUCAAAGACAUAUAUGUAUAAUAGAGAAUACACAAUAGCUGUAUAUGUGUUCCUAUUUUUGUGAAGAGGAAAUAUUCCCAUGACCUGAAAGAAUAAAAUUUCCAACUCUGA